rnacentral:rRNA from 1 species
CUUCACUUGUUGGUGAGGUAAUGGCUCACCAAGGCGACGACGGGUAGCCGGCCUGAGAGGGUGACCGGCCACACUGGGACUGAGACACGGCCCAGACUCCUACGGGAGGCAGCAGUGGGGAAUAUUGCACAAUGGGCGCAAGCCUGAUGCAGCAACGCCGCGUGAGGGAUGACGGCCUUCGGGUUGUAAACCUCUUUUAGUAGGGAAGAAGCGAAAGUGACGGUACCUGCAGAAAAAGCACCGGCUAACUACGUGCCAGCAGCCGCGGUAAUACGUAGGGUGCAAGCGUUGUCCGGAAUUAUUGGGCGUAAAGAGCUCGUAGGCGGCUUGUCGCGUCCGCUGUGAAAUCCCGGGGCUCAACCCCGGGCCUGCAGUGGGUACGGGCAAGCUAGAGUGCGGUAGGGGAGAUUGGAAUUCCUGGUGUAGCGGUGGAAUGCGCAGAUAUCAGGAGGAACACCGAUGGCGAAGGCAGAUCUCUGGGCCGCUACUGACGCUGAGGAGCGAAAGCAUGGGGAGCGAACAGGAUUAGAUACCCUGGUAGUCCAUGCCGUAAACGUUGGGAACUAGAUGUAGGGCCUGUUCCACG